UCAAUAAACUAAGUCAUUAAAAUAAGUAACUUUUGAUUAGAGAGAAUGGAUGAUAUAAGAUUGGAAUCACACCAAGUCUUAUAAUUCACAAGGUUGUCAAAGACAACAAGCUUUGUUGGCGGAAGGUGGAAUAGAUGGUAGAGAUGGCGCGAUGAUAGGAUGAUUGACUCACUCAAUCUGUUGAUGAUAGACUCUCUCUAUCAAGUGAUCGAACAAACUACUUGAAUCACAAAAAUAGUUUAAUCCAAGAAUUCUAAUGAACAAUGUGAAUCACACACAAUAUUCAAAAGAAACAACUCUUGCAAAAAACUCUCUUUGAAGAAAAACGAAAAUGCUUUAUUACUUUAAGAUUGAAUGGUGAUUUGUACAAAUGAUAUAAUGAGCUUUAUAUAGUGCUCUUACAAGGUUCUAAAGUCUAAAAAGAAGAAAAGAAAUCUUAGCAAUAAGAGAAUAUAGCCGUUGGAGCUAUUAUGGCGAGAAUCGGCCAAAAUAGAGGAAGUGAUGUAUCCUUUGUAUCUGGACGGUUUGAGGGGAUAGAUGAGCUUCUCUGGCACAUUAGUUUCUUCAUAAAACACGUCCAAGUCGUAGCAUUCAAGAGAAAAGAGCCGUUGGUGAGAUAUUCCUCCAAGUGUGAAUGCUUCCGGAAAAAGAAAGUGUACAAAUAUGAGGAUCCGCCUGAUCCUGUGGUUUCUGGAGCAUGGUAAGACAUUUGUAGACUCCUCUACAUGUAUAAGAAACUCUCCUGGUCGCCAAAAUCCGGUUUGUAAGAGAUUGAACCGGUCAGUCUUCAUACUUUCCUUAAACGGCUCCGGUUGGCUUAAUUGAGAACUCAAUUGGAUCCGCCUGAUCCAAUGCAUGUUGGUGCACCUUAGGAUGUUGUAGAAAGCUUCUAGAGGUAACUCAGAGUCUCCUGGGCGCCACUGAUAUGUUUGAAGCCUCCAAAACCCGAAAGGUUCCAAAUAAAGCAAGCCAGAAAUCUUCUGGUUUAGAAAUUGAAUAACUUUCCAACCAAAACCGGUCUCGGUAUGAUUACAGUUCUCCUGGAUUCUCUGAUGAAUGAAUAAUCCAAAACAAGCCGGUUCAUAGCUUGAUUCGUCCUUGUUUGGUCGGAAUCCUUUGAUCAAGGCGCAAAUGUCCAAAUCGGGUUUGUUGGAGAUAACCCGGUUUGUAAGCUGAAUAAUUCUUAUGUCUGAACUCCAAUUGGACUGAUUCCAAUUCCCGCGUGCCUAUGCUGGAUCCAGAUUGCAUAGAAAGUGGUUUCAUGUAUUAAAUCUUUCUGGUCUGGUUGGAGGGAUUCAAUAAGUGGUCGUAUGUCUCCAUCGGAUCCUUUGAAGAUCUGCCUGAGUGUAUCUUCAAUAUCUUCUUCAUGUGGAAAGCUUUUGGGAUGAUUCUUCUUCGUGGUAUGCUCUAGACGUGAUGAGUAAAUAUCCCAAAUGUUUGUUGAGCUGGAACGGUCAGUAUUGGUCUUCAUUUGUGCUGAACAAAGCUUACAUGUCUCCUUAGCUCGUCUUGGCUCCAUGUUCUCAUCUCCUUGUUCCUUGAUUCCUUGCUUCAGGUCUGAUGAUGACUUGAUGUCCUCAUCAUAUCCUCCCUCUUCAAGAAGUUUUGUCCUCAAAACUUGUUUACCUGCACAUAGAUAAGUCAAGUUAGUACCUUGAAUUGUUUGAGGGUUCAGAGAAAUACCUUCACUCAUUGUGUGAGUGUAGCUUGGGCAUGGUCGGUGUUGGGCAUCUGGUGGUUCUUCUUUGAUCAGAAAAGAAGCAAUGACACCUCUCCAAGUUUUGUUGCCGACUUCUUUGGGCAGCAAGUCGUUCACUUUGGUGAAAUCCCCUUUUUCACACGUCAUGUGUCCAUUGAACCUUUGCAAAUUAGAGUUUUGUUGAUUCUUUCCUGUACCUGCAAUUUCCUUGACACUUUUGACAAAGAACAAGUGUGUUAUAACAGUCAUGGUAUUACUAGAAACAUAGAAACGUCAUUCAGGUUGGAUCAUUUCAUUUACUUUAUGUGAAACCACAAGUUGCUCAUAGUUUUGUGGUUCAAUAUAAGAAACGGUUUCUUUAAUAUUCUCACAGUUUUCUGGAUUUAGCAGAUUCUUUAGCACAGACUUCAAAUCAUCAGAAAUAAAUGAGAGAAACGUGCUACUUACCUGAUCAGAAGUCUCGGUAUGUUCUAUUUCCGUAGAUGCAAUGGCAUUUGAUUUCAUCAGGUGAUCUGGUGGCUCUGGUUGGAUCAGAGUGAAGUUGGUAACAUCUUUCUCAGGGGCACACUGGCACAUAUUUAUCUCUUCAUAGUGCUGCUCUCCAUCAUUUAAACCUGCAUCCAAAACCUUUGGCAAAGACAAGCACAUCAUAUCUGAUUUGGAAAUUUCACAAUGUAACUCAUCUCUUUCUACUUUUCUAACUUCUUCUUUUACUGGUUCAACUGAUGUAGUAAUCUCUGAUUUUCUGAUUGGACAAGUCUUAGCAAAAUGACCUCUUUGAUGACAUCUAUAACAGAUUGUGGUAUCUAUCUUAAGAGUUUUAGACGACUUACAUUGCUUUGCUUUGCCUUGUGGCUCAAGUGUCGGUUUUGUGCUUCUCUUGUGAACUGUGAUUGGUGGCGUUGGAUUUGGUUUAACUUCUGUGGUUGCCACUGGUUUCUCAGCUUUUGACCUCUUUUCCAAAGUGCUUUGAGACACUUUCUUUGGCUCAGAACAGCAAGCUUUCUUUGACUUAGAAACAGGCUGCGGUUUUGGUGUUGACAUGCAUUUCCUUGUAGCUGUCUGGAACAUUAGCCUCUUGGGAAUGUAGCUGCGGUUGUGGGACUUCUGUACAAACUCUCUGUACAUACGCUGCUUGAGAUUACCCCAAGUGAUGGUAGAAUUAUUAUAAUUGGCCACAACUUCUUCUUGUACCCACCAUUUAGUAGCUUCUCCAACAAGUGAGUCAAGUGCAUAUGAAAGUCUCUGGUCCUUGGGGAUGUUUUGUGCCCUCAUCAUGUACUCCAUUUCGCUCUCCCACUGUAGGUAAGCUUCUGGUCCUUGUUCAUGACCUGAAAAAUAGAUGUGGCGUGGCUCACAAUCUGCCUCAUCAUCUGUUGCUGUAUCGUAUGGGUCGUCUAGAGGUGUGUUGUUGACACUGGCUUCAUUUGGAUAUUUAUCCUCCUCUUCAAACUUUGUUUCUCCAACCAAAGUAUCUUCUGGAUCUGCCUCAUGGCUCCAUUGGUCGUCAUCAACAUGGUCACCAUCUCCUGAACUGAUUUCAGAAUCAGUUUCUUCUCUCCAAGUAUCUUCUUCAUGAUCUUCUCCUAGAUCGCUUUCAGUCUCUUCACACCAAGGCUUUUGGUAUAGUUCGUCUUUCGGAUGUUGUUCUCCUCCAUGGGUGAGGAGGUCUCCACGUCCUGGUUCACCUUCAUGGUCCUCUAAACUUAUUUGAGUCUCAGUCUCGUCUCGCCAUGUACUAUCUUCUCCAAAAUCACCUUCUUGGUCGGUUUCUUCUUCUCUAGACCAAUUCAAUUGAUUGGCGUUGUUUCUUAUGUAAUCUGGUGGUUCAGGAUCAACUCCUUCACCAUCUCUUUCGUCUCCAUAGCUUGAAUAAUCAUCUCCUGGCCAUGGUGGGGAUUCAUAAUCAGCUUCUUCAUCGGACCACCAUCCUUGGAUUGAAUCAUCAUAUUUGUCUUCAUUGAAUCCUAUGGACUCAUCUUCUUCACUAGAAUUCAUGGUGGCUGCUCCUCAGCGAUUAUCUCGCAAAAGCAAAGAGAAAAAGGAUGGGUCAAAACUCGUUUUAGACAAUGAAAAGGAAAGAAGAAAAGUUGCCAAAUUAAAACAAUGGUUUCUUUACUUUUUUUUUUUCUUCAAACAGAAUUUCGAAAAUCAAAUAACAAAAAAGAAAAUCUUUAAUUUCUUUUUUUUUAUUGAAAAAAAUACAAAAUAAGAAAUGAAACGAAUCAAUAGGACAAUUUUUUAAUUUUUAUUAUUAUAUAUAUAUUUUUUAAAAAACUAAAAAAAUUCGAAAAUUUAAAUAACAGAAAAGAAAUUUUAAUUUUUGUUCAAUAACAAAAGGAAAUCAAGAAAGAAUUUUUUUUUUUUUUUAAUAAAAAUUCAAACAACAAGGAGUAAACUAACAAAUGAAAGAUUGCUGAAUUAAAAACUUUUUAUGGGGUUUUCUGAGAUUAAAAUCGACAAAGACCUUUUUAUGGCUUUUAGAUUUAUCAAAACAGUAGCAAAACAAAUCGAACAACUUUUCUUUAUAAUAUUUUUUUUAAUAAUGAAUCAAAAUAAUGGAAACAGAACUGAAAACAAAAACACUUUUUUUUGGUGGAUUUUUUGAUUUAUGAUGAAACAAAGACUGAAAUGAAAUAACAGAAAGCAAAAGACAAAGAACAAAAGCACAUUGAUAGGAACUUGUGCUCUGAUACCAAAUGAUAUAAGAUUGGAAUCACACCAAGUCUUAUAAUUCACAAGGUUGUCAAAGACAACAAGCUUUGUUGGCGGAAGGUGGAAUAGAUGGUAGAGAUGGCGCGAUGAUAGGAUGAUUGACUCACUCAAUCUGUUGAUGAUAGACUCUCUCUAUCAAGUGAUCGAACAAACUACUUGAAUCACACAAAUAGUUUAAUCCAAGAAUUCUAAUGAACAAUGUGAAUCACACACAAUAUUCAAAAGAAACAACUCUUGCAAAGAACUCUCUUUGAAGAAAAACGAAAAUGCUUUAUUACUUUAAGAUUGAAUGGUGAUUUGUACAAAUGAUAUAAUGAGCUUUAUAUAGAGCUCUUACAACGUUCUAAAGUCUAAAAAGAAGAAAAGAAAUCUUAGCAAUAAGAGAAUAUAGCCGUUGGAGCUAUUAUGGCGAGAAUCGGCCAAAAUAGAGGAAGUGAUGUAUCCUUUGUAUCUGGACGGUUUGAGGGGAUAUAUAAGCUUCUCUGGCACAUUAGUUUCUUCAUAAAACACGUCCAAGUCGUAGCAUUCAAGAGAAAAGAGCCGUUGGUGAGAUAUUCCUCCAAGUGUGAAUGCUUCCGGAAAAAGAAAGUGUACAAAUAUGAGGAUCCGCCUGAUCCUGUGGUUUCUGGAGCAUGGUAAGACAUUUGUAGACUCCUAUACAUGUAUAAGAAACUCUCCUGGUCGCCAAAAUCCGGUUUGUAAGAGAUUGAACCGGUCAGUCUUCAUACUUUCCUUAAACGGCUCCGGUUGGCUUAAUUGAGAACUCAAUUGGAUCCGCCUGAUCCAAUGCAUGUUGGUGCACCUUAGGAUGUUGUAGAAAGCUUCUAGAAGUAACUCAGAGUCUCCUGGGCGCCACUGAUAUGUUUGAAGCCUCCAAAACCCGAAAGGUUCCAAAUAAAGCAAGCCAGAAAUCUUCUGGUUUAGAAAUUGAAUAACUUUCCAACCAAAACCGGUCUCGGUAUGAUUACAGUUCUCCUGGAUUCUCUGAUGAAUGAAGAAUCCAAAACAAGCCGGUUCAUAGCUUGAUUCGUCCUUGUUUGGUCGGAAUCCUUUGAUCAAGGCGCAAAUGUCCAAAUCGGGUUUGUUGGAGAUAACCCGGUUUGUAAGCUGAAUAAUUCUUAUGUCUGAACUCCAAUUGGAC
rnacentral:lncRNA from 1 species